CUGUCGCCGCGGGAAUACAGAGGGUGCGAGCGUUAAUCGGAUUUACUGGGCGUAAAGCGUGCGUAGGCGGCUUCUUAAGUCGGAUGUGAAAUCCCUGAGCUUAACUUAGGAAUUGCAUUCGAUACUGGGAAGCUAGAGUAUGGGAGAGGAUGGUAGAAUUCCAGGUGUAGCGGUGAAAUGCGUAGAGAUCUGGAGGAAUACCGAUGGCGAAGGCAGCCAUCUGGCCUAAUACUGACGCUGAGGUACGAAAGCAUGGGGAGCAAACAGGAUUAGAUACCCCCGUAGUCCCUGUCUCUUAUAC
rnacentral:rRNA from 1 species